GCUACAGGCUUAACACAUGCAAGUCGAGGGGCAGCAUUUUAGUUUGCUUGCAAACUGAAGAUGGCGACCGGCGCACGGGUGAGUAACACGUAUCCAACCUGCCGAUAACUCCGGAAUAGCCUUUCGAAAGAAAGAUUAAUACCGGAUAGCAUACGAAUAUCGCAUGAUAUUUUUAUUAAAGAAUUUCGGUUAUCGAUGGGGAUGCGUUCCAUUAGUUUGUUGGCGGGGUAACGGCCCACCAAGACUACGAUGGAUAGGGGUUCUGAGAGGAAGGUCCCCCACAUUGGAACUGAGACACGGUCCAAACUCCUACGGGAGGCAGCAGUGAGGAAUAUUGGUCAAUGGGCGAGAGCCUGAACCAGCCAAGUAGCGUGAAGGAUGAAGGCUCUAUGGGUCGUAAACUUCUUUUAUAUGGGAAUAAAAUUUUCCACGUGUGGAAUUUUGUAUGUACCAUAUGAAUAAGGAUCGGCUAACUCCGUGCCAGCAGCCGCGGUAAUACGGAGGAUCCGAGCGUUAUCCGGAUUUAUUGGGUUUAAAGGGAGCGUAGGUGGAUUGUUAAGUCAGUUGUGAAAGUUUGCGGCUCAACCGUAAAAUUGCAGUUGAAACUGGCAGUCUUGAGUACAGUAGAGGUGGGCGGAAUUCGUGGUGUAGCGGUGAAAUGCUUAGAUAUCACGAAGAACUCCGAUUGCGAAGGCAGCUCACUAGACUGUCACUGACACUGAUGCUCGAAAGUGUGGGUAUCAAACAGGAUUAGAUACCCUGGUAGUCCACACAGUAAACGAUGAAUACUCGCUGUUUGCGAUAUACAGUAAGCGGCCAGGCGAAAGCAUUAAGUAUUCCACCUGGGGAGUACGCCGGCAACGGUGAAACUCAAAGGAAUUGACGGGGGCCCGCACAAGCGGAGGAACAUGUGGUUUAAUUCGAUGAUACGCGAGGAACCUUACCCGGGCUUAAAUUGCAACAGAAUAUAUUGGAAACAGUAUAGCCGUAAGGCUGUUGUGAAGGUGCUGCAUGGUUGUCGUCAGCUCGUGCCGUGAGGUGUCGGCUUAAGUGCCAUAACGAGCGCAACCCUUAUCUUUAGUUACUAACAGGUCAUGCUGAGGACUCUAGAGAGACUGCCGUCGUAAGAUGUGAGGAAGGUGGGGAUGACGUCAAAUCAGCACGGCCCUUACGUCCGGGGCUACACACGUGUUACAAUGGGGGGUACAGAAGGCGGCUACCUGGUGACAGGAUGCUAAUCCCAAAAACCUCUCUCAGUUCGGAUCGAAGUCUGCAACCCGACUUCGUGAAGCUGGAUUCGCUAGUAAUCGCGCAUCAGCCAUGGCGCGGUGAAUACGUUCCCGGGCCUUGUACACACCGCCCGUCAAGCCAUGAAAGCCGGGGGUACCUGAAGUACGUAACCGCAAGGAGCGUCCUAGGGUAAAACUGGUAAUUGGG
rnacentral:rRNA from 1 species